GUUCCUCUCACAUGGCAUCACAUUUGUUCCAUUAGAACCUUAAAGCUCUUCACGAAAGAAACGUUUUUUCCCGACCUACGAAAUCAAGGGCAUUCACAAAGGGGGGAUUUUUUUCCCCUACGGCAUUAAUUUUCCCAAACCAGCUGUUUUGGUUCAGGCUCUUUCCUACAAGAGAUUGAAGCAGUAAGUCGUACGUAAGACAUU